UUAAGUUAUUAAGGGCGCACGGUGGAUGCCUUGGCACUAGAAGCCGAUGAAGGACGUUACUAACGACGAUAUGCUUUGGGGAGCUGUAAGUAAGCUUUGAUCCAGAGAUUUCCGAAUGGGGAAACCCAGCAUGAGUUAUGUCAUGUUAUCGAUAUGUGAAUACAUAGCAUAUCAGAAGGCACACCCGGAGAACUGAAACAUCUUAGUACCCGGAGGAAGAGAAAGAAAAUUCGAUUCCCUUAGUAGCGGCGAGCGAAACGGGAAGAGCCCAAACCAACAAGCUUGCUUGUUGGGGUUGUAGGACACUCUAUACGGAGUUACAAAGGACGACAUUAGACGAAUCAUCUGGAAAGAUGAAUCAAAGAAGGUAAUAAUCCUGUAGUCGAAAAUGUUGUCUCUCUUGAGUGGAUCCUGAGUACGACGGAGCACGUGAAAUUCCGUCGGAAUCUGGGAGGACCAUCUCCUAAGGCUAAAUACUCUCUAGUGACCGAUAGUGAACCAGUACCGUGAGGGAAAGGUGAAAAGCACCCCGGAAGGGGAGUGAAAUAGAACCUGAAACCGUGUGCUUACAAGUAGUCAGAGCCCGUUAAUGGGUGAUGGCGUGCCUUUUGUAGAAUGAACCGGCGAGUUACGAUUUGAUGCAAGGUUAAGCAGUAAAUGUGGAGCCGUAGCGAAAGCGAGUCUGAAUAGGGCGUUUAGUAUUUGGUCGUAGACCCGAAACCAGGUGAUCUACCCUUGGUCAGGUUGAAGUUCAGGUAACACUGAAUGGAGGACCGAACCGACUUACGUUGAAAAGUGAGCGGAUGAACUGAGGGUAGCGGAGAAAUUCCAAUCGAACCUGGAGAUAGCUGGUUCUCUCCGAAAUAGCUUUAGGGCUAGCCUCAAGUGAUGAUUAUUGGAGGUAGAGCACUGUUUGGACGAGGGGCCCCUCUCGGGUUACCGAAUUCAGACAAACUCCGAAUGCCAAUUAAUUUAACUUGGGAGUCAGAACAUGGGUGAUAAGGUCCGUGUUCGAAAGGGAAACAGCCCAGACCACCAGCUAAGGUCCCAAAAUAUAUGUUAAGUGGAAAAGGAUGUGGCGUUGCCCAGACAACUAGGAUGUUGGCUUAGAAGCAGCCAUCAUUUAAAGAGUGCGUAAUAGCUCACUAGUCGAGUGACACUGCGCCGAAAAUGUACCGGGGCUAAACAUAUUACCGAAGCUGUGGAUUGUCCUUUGGACAAUGGUAGGAGAGCGUUCUAAGGGCGUUGAAGCAUGAUCGUAAGGACAUGUGGAGCGCUUAGAAGUGAGAAUGCCGGUGUGAGUAGCGAAAGACGGGUGAGAAUCCCGUCCACCGAUUGACUAAGGUUUCCAGAGGAAGGCUCGUCCGCUCUGGGUUAGUCGGGUCCUAAGCUGAGGCCGACAGGCGUAGGCGAUGGAUAACAGGUUGAUAUUCCUGUACCACCUAUAAUCGUUUUAAUCGAUGGGGGGACGCAGUAGGAUAGGCGAAGCGUGCGAUUGGAUUGCACGUCUAAGCAGUAAGGCUGAGUAUUAGGCAAAUCCGGUACUCGUUAAGGCUGAGCUGUGAUGGGGAGAAGACAUUGUGUCUUCGAGUCGUUGAUUUCACACUGCCGAGAAAAGCCUCUAGAUAGAAAAUAGGUGCCCGUACCGCAAACCGACACAGGUAGUCAAGAUGAGAAUUCUAAGGUGAGCGAGCGAACUCUCGUUAAGGAACUCGGCAAAAUGACCCCGUAACUUCGGGAGAAGGGGUGCUCUUUAGGGUUAACGCCCAGAAGAGCCGCAGUGAAUAGGCCCAAGCGACUGUUUAUCAAAAACACAGGUCUCUGCUAAACCGUAAGGUGAUGUAUAGGGGCUGACGCCUGCCCGGUGCUGGAAGGUUAAGAGGAGUGGUUAGCUUCUGCGAAGCUACGAAUCGAAGCCCCAGUAAACGGCGGCCGUAACUAUAACGGUCCUAAGGUAGCGAAAUUCCUUGUCGGGUAAGUUCCGACCCGCACGAAAGGCGUAACGAUUUGGGCACUGUCUCAACGAGAGACUCGGUGAAAUCAUAGUACCUGUGAAGAUGCAGGUUACCCGCGACAGGACGGAAAGACCCCGUGGAGCUUUACUGUAGCCUGAUAUUGAAAUUCGGCACAGCUUGUACAGGAUAGGUAGGAGCCUUUGAAACGUGAGCGCUAGCUUACGUGGAGGCGCUGGUGGGAUACUACCCUAGCUGUGUUGGCUUUCUAACCCGCACCACUUAUCGUGGUGGGAGACAGUGUCAGGCGGGCAGUUUGACUGGGGCGGUCGCCUCCUAAAAGGUAACGGAGGCGCUCAAAGGUUCCCUCAGAAUGGUUGGAAAUCAUUCAUAGAG
rnacentral:rRNA from 1 species